GAUGAACGCUGGCGGCGUGCCUAAUACAUGCAAGUCGAACGAAGCCUUCGGGCUUAGUGGCGAACGGGUGAGUAACACGUUGGUACCUACCCUCUAGUGGGGAAUAACUGGCCGAAAGGUCGGCUAAUACCGCAUAAUACCGCAAGGUUAAAGCAGCAAUGCGCUAGAGGAGGGGCCUGCGUCCCAUUAGCUUGUUGGUAGUGUAAUGGACUACCAAGGCGACGAUGGGUAGCUGGAUCGAGAGGUUGACCAGCCACACUGGGACUGAGAUACGGCCCAGACUCCUACGGGAGGCAGCAGUAAGGAAUCUUCCAUAAUGGACGAAAGUCUGAUGGAGCAACGCCGCGUGCAGGAUGACGGCCUUCGGGUUGUAAACUGCUUUUAUAUGGGAAGAUUAUGACGGUACCAUAUGAAUAAGGACCGGCUAACUACGUGCCAGCAGCCGCGGUAA
rnacentral:rRNA from 1 species